GAAAUAUCCCUGGGUACAUGGACUACAUAUUUCACAUGCACAGCAUAAAAUAUUUAAUAAAACGAAGGAGGUGCCUGAAAAAUCAAGACUUCAAUAGAUGAAGGUGGUCACAACAAUUAAAAUACAUCCUUUCUUCCCCCUCAUGGCACAGGAUAAUGAGCUGUUGUUCAUCAUUUCCUUCCCUAAUUUGUUCCAAGAUUAGCUGACUUGUCACAGUCAUUUCCUCGUGGUCCACCACCCUGCCAUGACGGUUGAAGAGCAUAAAGGAGAAAACUUGGACAGAAGAAAACUUGAAAGUGUCCUUCAAAGAGCAGCUCAGUGGACGUGCCCUUCUCAAAACACUGGAUCUUUUCUUUUGAGAUGACCGGGGGGAGGGGUACAAAGUUGAAAAAGGGACCCCCCACAGAUACAUUUGCUACCACCUGUUGUGAAAUGUUGAACCUGCAAAAGAGGCACAGAUAGUGUCCUACUUUCUUAACUAGUAACAGCUGUUUCUGAAAAUAACAGAAACAGAAGCCAAUCCUUUAUGCAAGCUCACUUGUUGCAUGUAUUUCAGAAAUCUAAUACAAAUUUACAACAUCUCUAAUAACCGAGUUUUACACUUUAAAAAGAUCUUGAAAAUACAUACAGAAAAGAAGUCCUCCUUACAAGCAUUGUUUGGAGGGAAAAAUACAGUACAAAGUAAAGAGGGAGACACUUAUAGAUAGGUAACCAAGAUUAUGUAGCCCACUUCUUGCCAGCCCUCUUUUCACAGUUUUCUUAGUUCUAAUGUAAACAAUAUCCCAUAAUUAUUCAAUUCAACCUCCUUAGAAGCUUCUGUUGGUGAGUCCUGAACUCCAAAGGAAGCUUCACAGCACCCAAAGAUCCUAACCUUUCUGUGCCAAAACGCACUAUGUAUGUUUUUUCUGACCCUCCUAAACUAUACCCUGUCCCAUCUCAACAAUUGGCUACCCUAGCCAACACUUCUUAUCCUUGCCUAUCACUCUGCUGGUUUAGGUACUUAGCUUAACUUCUAAUAUCGGAUCCAUCAUUGUUUUGUCAAACAAGGUAACUUUUCAACACAUCUUUGAGACACUCCUUUGCACCCUCUCUCAUUCUCAGGAUAGCAUCAUUGACUGGACUUGCUUCAUUACUAUGGCUUUGCAGAAUGGAUCAACCUCAGGUAGCCCUAUUACAAAAGGUACAAUACUAGUUCUUCAGCACUAACAUUUUAAUUUCAUUUAAAGUCUGAAACUGCCAUUGCAAAAUUAUAAUGGAGACAGUGAAAGAGAUCUGACUAACCAACUCCAUCUUGCUUUAAUCUCCAAGCUGUGUUUGUUCAUUCAGUUGCUUCUUGUUUAGUUAGGCCAAACUAACUUUGGGAGGAACUUAGUUUAUAGUUUAAAAGAAAGAUGAUAAGCGCUCUUUCCCGUAACAAACCUCCUUCUUGCCUGGGGACUAGAUUGCCUUUGUAGGACUAACAAAUUAGCCACAAGAUUAGAAAUUAUGGUUUAGGAGUCAUGCAGCUGGAGCUACAAGAUUCUGACCCUCCCUAAAUUGCUCCUGGGGAUAACAUCACUAUUGUAAAACCUAAGACCUAUGCUUGAGAUGUUUUGCAGACCCCACACUUGAUGGAUCAGCUGUCACUACACAGAGCGAUAAACUGGCUCAUCUGGUCUUGUGGUCCUCACGCAGGAACUGACUCAGCUCAAGAGAAAAGCUUCAACUCCCUAUGAUUUCAUCUUUGACCCGACCAACCAGAGCUCCUGACUCACCCACCCACUACCCACCAAAUUAUCCUUAAGAACUCUGAUCCCUGAAUGCUCGGGAAAUUCAUUUGAGUAAAAAUAAAACUCCAGUCUCCUGUACAGCCAGCUCUGUGUAAAUUACUCUUUCUCUGUUGUAAUUCCCGUCUUGAUAAAUUGGCUCAGUCUAGUCAGUGAGCAAGGUGACAAGUCCAAGAGAAAAAAAUAUUUUUUGAAAUACACAUAUGUGAGUGCAUGUACACAUUCCUUGUUCUCAAAACUUACUGUAACAGAACUCAAUGUUAACGUCAUUCCUCGCUAAGUUACAAAGUUAAGAAUAACACAGUGGUGUGAAUUUUUUAAUCAAAGAAGUACAAGGUAUUUUUAGAUUGUUUCUAAUGACAGAGUUUUACUGAUGUUCUUGUUUCCAUGCAUCUCCACAUAUCUCCACAACUGGAAAUUCCACUAGCAGUAUUCUUUCAUGUAUUCCUUUCUUCAUUCAUUCACUAACUACUUUUUGGAAGGGUACCAUGUGCGAGACACUGUUCUUGAUACAGAGAUGAACAAAAAAGAAAAAAUCUUUGCCAUAAUGGACCUUGCAUUCAAGUGUGGGGAGACAAGAACAUGUAAACCAAUAAUACUUUCAAAUAGUCUGAUAUGAAGAAUAUGCAACGCAGUAAAGAGAUACAAAGAGAGAGGGAGCUAUGUUAGAGAGGCUGGCCAAGUAAGGAUUUGCUAAAUUUUCACAUUUGAAAGGAAACCUAAAUGAUGUUUAUUAUCACGGGGAUCUUGAGGAUAAGUACUGAUGGCACAGGAAGCAGAAGGUACAAAUCCCUGAGGCGGCAAUUCAAGGAAUAGAAAGGCCAGGUGGCUGGAACACAGUAAACUAUAACAGAUUGUCUCCAUUAAAUGCAAAGAAAUUUAACUGAAAACAUAGUAAACCCUUCAUAUAUUUCCUAAGAAAUGCUGCACCUGACAGGGAGAAAAUAGAAGUUUUAGAUGUGAAUGAUGGGUAUUCUGAUAGACUCAAUAGUUAAGAGACACUCUCUCUCACAUCAGUCUGGCAGAAAAUAUGAUUCAAAUGAGUACAGUAGGGAAUUUAUAAAUUAUUACAUGUCAUGACCUUUGGAGUCUGAGGUAGAUUAAAACCACAAGAAUUGAC
rnacentral:lncRNA from 1 species